GGGUAAGUGCUACACGACAUGCUCCCACUGAAACUCCCCAGGGUCGGAAGGCAGCAAGGAUAAGUGGUCGUAGCAGUGCGAUGUAGUUAGCUUACCCACC
rnacentral:SRP_RNA from 1 species